rnacentral:rRNA from 1 species
UACGAAGGGGGCUAGCGUUGCUCGGAAUUACUGGGCGUAAAGGGCGCGUAGGCGGAUAGUUUAGUCAGAGGUGAAAGCCCAGGGCUCAACCUUGGAAUUGCCUUUGAUACUGGCUAUCUUGAGUUCGGGAGAGGUGAGUGGAAUGCCGAGUGUAGAGGUGAAAUUCGUAGAUAUUCGGCGGAACACCAGUGGCGAAGGCGACUCACUGGCCCGAUACUGACGCUGAGGCGCGAAAGCUGGGGGAGCGAACAGG